rnacentral:rRNA from 1 species
GUCUGACGGAGCACGCCGCGUGAGUGAUGAAGGUUUUCGGAUCGUAAAGCUCUGUUGUUAGGGAAGAACAAGUGCAAGAGUAACUGCUUGCACCUUGACGGUACCUAACCAGAAAGCCACGGCUAACUACGUGCCAGCAGCCGCGGUAAUACGUAGGUGGCAAGCGUUGUCCGGAAUUAUUGGGCGUAAAGGGCUCGCAGGCGGUUUCUUAAGUCUGAUGUGAAAGCCCCCGGCUCAACCGGGGAGGGUCAUUGGAAACUGGGAAACUUGAGUGCAGAAGAGGAGAGUGGAAUUCCACGUGUAGCGGUGAAAUGCGUAGAGAUGUGGAGGAACACCAGUGGCGAAGGCGACUCUCUGGUCUGUAACUGACGCUGAGGAGCGAAAGCGUGGGGAGCGAACAGGAUUAGAUACCCUGGUAGUCCACGCCGUAAACGAUGAGUGCUAAGUGUUAGGGGGUUUCCGCCCCUUAGUGCUGCAGCUAACGCAUUAAGCACUCCGCCUGGGGAGUACGGUCGCAAGACUGAAACUCAAAGGAAUUGACGGGGGCCCGCACAAGCGGUGGAGCAUGUGGUUUAAUUCGAAGCAACGCGAAGAACCUUACCAGGUCUUGACAUCCUCUGACAACCCUAGAGAUAGGGCUUUCCCUUCGGGGACAGAGUGACAGGUGGUGCAUGGUUGUCGUCAGCUCGUGUCGUGAGAUGUUGGGUUAAGUCCCGCAACGAGCGCAACCCUUGAUCUUAGUUGCCAGCAUUCAGUUGGGCACUCUAAGGUGACUGCCGGUGACAAACCGGAGGAAGGUGGGGAUGACGUCAAAUCAUCAUGCCCCUUAUGACCUGG